AUUGAACGCUGGCGGCAGGCCUAACACAUGCAAUUCGAACGAUUGGCGGACGGGUGAGUAAUGUCUGGGAAACUGCCUUAUUGAGGGGGAUAACUACUGGACACGGUCGCUAAUACCGCAUACCCUCAGAUGUGCCCAGAUGGGAUUAGCUAGUUGGUGGGGUAACGGCUCACCAAGGCGACGAUCCCUAGCUGGUCUGAGAGGAUGACCAGCCAAACUGGAACUGAGACACGGUCCAGACUCCUACGGGAGGCAGCAGUGGGGAAUAUUGCAAAAUGGGCGCAAGCCUGAUGCAGCCAUGCCGCGUGUAUGAAGAAGGCCUUCGGGUUGUAAAGUACUUUCAGCGGGGAGGCGUUACCCGCAGAAGAAGCACCGGCUAACUCCGGGCCAGAAGCCGCGGUAAUUC
rnacentral:rRNA from 1 species